GAUGAACGCUGGCGGCGUGCCUAAUACAUGCAAGUCGAGCGAACAGACGAGGAGCUUGCUCCUCUGACGUUAGCGGCGGACGGGUGAGUAACACGUGUAUAACCUCCCUAUAAUACGGGGAUAACCUCGGGAAACCGGAUCUAAUACCGGAGAAUCUAUUGAACCGCAGGGGUCAAUAGUAAAAUACGGUGUUUCUGUCACUAAUAGAUGGAUCCGGGCCGGAUUAGCUGGUUGGGAAGUUAACGGCCUACGAAGGCGAGUAGGCGUAGCCGACGUGAGAGAGUGAUCGGCGACCCUAGAGCGGAAACGCGGACAAGGCGACUACGAGACGCAGCAGUAGGCAAUGUGACGCAAUAGGCGAAAGCCUGACGCAACAACGCCGCGUCAGUGACGACAGUCUUCGGAUCGUGAAACUCUGUUACUAGGGAAAAACCAAUGUGUAAGUAAAUAUGCACGUAUUGACGGUAACUAAUAAGAAAGCAACGGCUAACUACGUG
rnacentral:rRNA from 1 species